UACGUAGGGUGCGAGCGUUGUCCGGAAUUAUUGGGCGUAAAGAGCUCGUAGGCGGUCUGUCGCGUCCGUUGUGAAAACUCGAGGCUCAACCUCGGGCUUGCAGUGGAUACGGGCAGACUAGAGUGCGGUAGGGGAGACUGGAAUUCCUGGUGUAGCGGUGGAAUGCGCAGAUAUCAGGAGGAACACCGAUGGCGAAGGCAGGUCUCUGGGCCGCAACUGACGCUGAGGAGCGAAAGCAUGGGGAGCGUACAGG
rnacentral:rRNA from 1 species